rnacentral:tRNA from 1 species
GUGGCUCAGUGGUAGAGUACUUGCCUUGCAUGCAUGAGACCCUGGGUUCGAUUCCUCAGC